rnacentral:rRNA from 1 species
CGUGUAGGCGGUAUUGUAAGUCAGAUGUAAAAGGCUACGGCUUAACCGUAGAUGGUCAUUUGAAACUGCAGUACUUGAGAGCGAGAGAGGGUAGUGGAAUUCCCAGUGUAGCGGUGAAAUGCGUAGAUAUCGGGAAGAACACCAGUAGCGAAGGCGGCUACCUGGCUCGUAACUGACGCUAAUGCGCGAAAGCGUGGGGAGCGAACAGGAUUAGAUACCCUGGUAGUCC